rnacentral:lncRNA from 1 species
AAGAUUCCUGCAGGACCAGAGGAUACAGUAAACGGGGCUCCAGGAGAGAAUGGGAGAGGAAUCUUCUGUGUCUCCAAGCAAAGAUGUGAAGAAGACAGAAGCUGUUUUGGUCAUAAGGGAGGUCCCAUUUAGUUUUGCAAUACUGAAGAAUUGCACAGAGUGACUAAAAUUAUUACAA